rnacentral:misc_RNA from 1 species
GUUUAAUGGUAGAAUACAUUAGAUCCGCCCAGUCAUUUCGGUAGAUGAAGUAGUGGGAGGUCGCGAAGUAAGGGGGCCUGUUCUGUUUAGAAUUUCGAACAUUGUAGCGGGUUUUUAUUUCAAGAACUCUGCCAUAAGAAUAUGAAAAUACACCAAUCAAAUGACGCAUCGAGCGCUGUUCCUGAGAGACAUUUUUUUUACCAACAACAUCUACUCAUACUUCG